rnacentral:rRNA from 1 species
AACGAACGCUGGCGGCAUGCCUAACACAUGCAAGUCGAACGAAGCCUUCGGGAUUAGUGGCGCACGGGGGCGGAACGCGGGGGAAUCUGCCCCUUGAUUCGGAAUAACAGUUAGAAAUGACUGCUAAUACCGGAUGAAGUCUUCGGACCAAAGAUAUAUCGGCCAGGGAUGAGCCGGCGUAGGUUUAGGUUGUUGGUGGGGUAAAGGCCUACCAAGGAGUCGAUACUUAGCUGGUCUGAGAGGAUGAUCAGCCACACUGGGACUGAGACACGGCCCAGAAUCCUACGGGAGGGAGGAGUGGGGAAUAUUGGACAAUGGACGCAAGUCUGAAGCAGCUAUGCCGCGUGAGUGAUGAAGGCCUUAGGGUUGUAAAGCUCUUUUACCAGGGAUGAUAAUGACGGUACCUGGAGAAUAAGCUCCGGCUAACUCCGUG